UCCGUUCCUUCUCUUGACCACGCCCUUCCUGCCCCUCCUCUGCGCGAGGGAAACACGCUGUUCUCGCGUGGGCCAAACAGAACUCGUUCCUCAUUGGUUGCCUGUAGGGCUCACGUGAUUCUCUCCUUCCCGGCCCCAAAUAACGGCCUAGCCCCGUUAGGUAGUCGCCCGCCGGGUGAGGAGCGGGGGGCGAGACCAGCCGAGACUAGGCUCGGUGUGAGACUAGCUGGCAGGGAGCAGCCGAAGCCGCGGGCUGAGCCGAUGGGCUGGGCGUGCUGAGCAGGUGUCUUCAUGUGCCAGAGACCCCACCAGCACCCCAUGGACAACUCUGGAUACCUUGGAGGUGCCUGAGACGGAAAUCCCUGCCAAGAACUGUGAAGAGAAGGAGGGGAGGGGGAAGACCUGAGCGGGGACUCCAACCAUGCUCUGAGGCAGGGUCUAUUUGCAACUCCACCACAGUCUAGCCUGUCCUGAGCAUGGAUGAGCCUGAUGAAGGGGAAUUGAACUCUGCAGCUUCUGACAUGGAGGGCUUGAGGGGUGUGCCUGACCACAAUGAGGAGGAGAAAGAAGAGGACCGGGGAGCAUGUGUUCUGCAAAAUCCUGCAAGCUAGUGCUGUAUUGGACUGUGAACAAAGGGCUUGAAGGGCCAAUGUGAUCAACAGUAUGGAGAAGGACAGAGAGGACAGGAAAAAGGCCAGGAGUCCCAGCUAGACAAGGAGAGAGAAAUGCACACAGACAUAAUGGAUCUUCUGAGGCAGCAAACCCAAAUGCUACAGACCUUUGUUGACCUACAGGUCCAAAAAUCCACAAUUCUCUGCUCUUUGGAGAACUCCAUGGUCGCUACUCUCUAGAUCCAUCAACAUACCAGAUGGCAACACAGUGCACAUAAGUACCCCUGCUACUCCAUGUUUGCGGGACAGCAAGGAAAACCACUGCUUCGCAUACACUGACCUGUGAGAACCACAGUUGGUGUAUGUGUAGACACAACGGACUACAUUUGUGCACUCAGAUAGACAUAAAUAUUUCCUCCCUUUCAAGUUUAAAAUUUUCACCGUUAAUUUAUGUUAAAAAUUUGUAUAAUAUUGCCUGUGGGUUUUUUUGCACAUUGAUUUUCUGCACUGUUUUCUCCCACUCAAUAAAGUUCUGGUUUUGGAA